rnacentral:rRNA from 1 species
UAUUUUGACUAUACAAAGGUAUUGAAAUAAGAUUUUAAUUGAAUGCUAAGAGAAUGGAAUUUCAGAAAAAAACUUUUUUUAAAUUAAAAAUUGAAAUUUUUUUAAUUUGUGCAGAAACAAUUAUUAACGUUAAGGACAAGAAGACCCUAUGAAUUUUUGAAAUUUUUAAUAAUAGUAAUUUAUUAUUAUUAUUAAAAAUUUUAGCUGGGGCGGCUAAAAAAUAUAAUUAACUUUUUAAGAAUAAAACGAUCCACUAAUAAUGAUUAUAUGUUAAAUACUCUAGGGAUAACAGCGUUAUAUUUUUUGAUAGACCAUAUUGACAAAAAAGUUUGCGACCUCGAUGUUGGAUUAGGAUACUUUUUUAAUGAAGAUAUUAAAAAAAGAAGUUUGUUCAACUUUUAAUUUCCU